GGGAAAGGGCGUCAGGAGAGGACAGGGGAGCUCUCAGCCCCCUGCCUGACCCCUUCCGGGGACGCUGACAGGCGCUCGGGACCCGGCCUCUGGGGGGCGUCGCAGGGUCAGCCUGUUGGGGGCCUUUUUUUUUUUUUUUUUUGACGCCGCUGCCCCUCGGGGUCUGGUCCCAGGCUGGUGGGGGGUUCGGCACCAGGGGAGCGCAGCCGCCGGGUAGGAGUUGACAGGGCGACCCGGGCGUGGGUCGGGCGACUGGAGGCAGGUGGGCCCCUCACUGGGGCUUGGUAAAGUGCGGGGAGGGGUCGAGGGGCAGGGCAAGGUGCGCGGGGGGCGGGGGAGAGGGGUGUCCGCCGGAAGCUUUCCGGACGCGGUCCUCGCGCAGUUGGGAGAAACUCUGCCCUUGGGACGAGGGGCUGUGCUUUUGCCCCGGCCAGCGAAGGUGGCGGGUUUACAGCCAAACUCGGGGAAGCCAGGCAGGACCGGACGGGAGGGAGAGGGACCGGGAGGACCCGUCUGGAUGGGGACCAGAGAUGAACGAAUCCGCCUGUGGGUAGCACUAGGGCAUGAUGUGGGGACGUUGCCAUGCCAGUGUUUGGUGUUUGUUUCUUACGGUUAUUUUAGGACCAAAUGAUAAAAAAGUUAUUCGGGAGAGAGGGAACUGCUUGCAUGGUCAUGAGUUCUUCCCUGGGUAUGCAGGAAAUGGGUAAAUCUUUCACGUUACCUCCCCCAACUGAGUCUGUGCCCAGUGGGCUUUUAAAAUAAUAAGUACAAAACUCUGAAGCACCGAAACGCGGUAAGGUCUGUCGGAUGAGUUUCAGGUGUCAGGCUCCGUGUUCCGUGGGAGAAAAACAGGACGACACGGUAGUACUUGAUACGCUCAGGCAGUCCCGUUUUUGUAAUAAGCUUUGGGGCUCAUCAGAGUGGAGUUCGGUUCUAACUGCCAGGGUUAAGUAAUCACACUGACCCAGUGCCACCCACCAAUCAGGAGCUUCCCUGAGUAACUUGGAAGGCUGCUAACAGCCCAGUCCUUGCUGAUGGUGAAUAGCCAGUGGUUCUGCUGGGUUUUUUCCUCUUUAAUUUUCCGCUAUUAUACUGCACUUACCGAACGUUAAAAUGAGUGAUCCAGUUAAACUGCUCUCCACUAAGUCACUUUUAUUUUUUAUUUUUUUAUUUUUUUUAAGAUUUUAUUUAUUUAUUUGAGAGAGAGAGAAUGAGAGAGAGCACAUGAGAGGGGGGAGGGUCAGAGGGAGAAGCAGACUCCCCGCCGAGCAGGGAGCCCGACGCGGGACUCGAUCCCGGGACUCCAGGAUCAUGACCUGAGCCGAAGGCAGUCGCUCUACCAACUGAGCCACCCAGGCGCCCCACUAAGUCACUUUUAUUUUUUAUUUAUUUAUUUUUUAAAGAUUUUAUUUAUUUAUUUGAGACAGAGAGAAUGAGAGAGAGAGAGCACAUGAGAGGGGGGAGGGUCAGAGGCAGAAGCAGGCUCCCCGCCGAGCAGGGAGCCCGAUGCGGGACUCGAUCCAGGGACUCGAUCCCGGGACUCCAGGAUCAUGACCUGAGCCGAAGGCAGUCGCUCUACCAACUGAGCCACCCAGGCGCCCCACUAAGUCACUUCUAAAUUAUCAGGCGCUAGCUCUGACAGGUCUUUUUUUCAUAUUUGGAAGUUCCUUGGAUACUUCACAUAUAAUAACUUCAAAUUGAUAAGGAUUUUUUGAGUCUUAAGCAGAUUAUACCAAGUGGGUAAUGUGUUUUAAAAUUUAAAUCUCAUCCAAGAAAACCUGUGGUUUGUGAAAGGGGCAGGAUUGUGACAGCUGAGGAGAUGUCUGAAGGAGUCUUCUGUGAAGGGUAAGAGAACAACCAGGACACCUGGUGAGUUCAGUGUUAACUGGCAGGCCCAGCAUAUGCAAACUUGCUCCUUACUCGAGCAUUUCUGACACGUGGGAGCUUCUUCUGUUGAUUAUGGAUCUUCUGUUAUUUGUCAUUUUCAGAAAGUUCUGUCAACAGAAAACCCUCACUUCAAAAUGGAGUGAUUGUGGCAUGUACCCAAAGUACCGAAGAGUUUCAGUAUGAGAUAUAAAGGAGGAUUAUUCAGUUUGGGAUCUUGUUAAUUCUUUCUGUGCAGUAAUUUUUGUACCUGACUGCUCUGAUGCCCUUUUGAGGUCUUGCUCCUAUUGGCUGUUGCUGACAUAUGUCUGUAAACAAUCCUGUAAUGGGCUAUUUGAAUGUUACAACCUAAAACAUCAUUUCCUGUAAUAUAUAAAUAUUUUUUUUCAUCCUUCCUUCUCUGUUUUUAAAGGGAACUGUAGGUUUGGGCAAAUCAGCACUUACUCAGCAUAUGCCCCUCCUGUAGGUCUCAUUGACCUUGGUAGCAUCAUGGAGGUCAUGUGUUCAGGGAGAUAAACUUCUUGAAUUUCCACCAAGUGAUAAAGACAUGGGAGAGAGAUUUGAGAUGUGCGUAUCUUGAUUUUUUAAAAUCAUUUUUAUUGGGAAUUUAUUGUGCUCACUGCCAAAAAUAAGUCAUUGAUUUCUUUUUGGAGAAUACAUACCUUUCUAUUUUAACAUUAAAAAAAAUCACUAAACUUCCUUUUUCACCUUUCCUAGUAUUGCUUGUAUAGUCUAUACUGACAAAUGGCUUUUUGGGUGACAUUUUUAAAGCUUGGGAAAUAAGAAGGGCAGUAAUACUGGGAUCAAUUUGGCCUGGGAAAGCAGCUGUGCUCUAAGAAAUUUGAUAUUUACGAGUAUAAGAUUACAAAACAAAUUAAGUAGUGGUUAGUUACAUGAGAAUUCUAUAUUUUACAAAAAGGAUUCACUAAAAGUUGCCUUUAAAUAAUCCCUUUUACGUGGUACUUACCAAACAUGACUUGAUUUAUAAAAAAUCGUUUGGCAUACAGCAAUUUAGGAAUAGGUUUUUGGCAUAAUGUAAGACUUAUCAGUAUGUUUCUUGAAUUGUCCCUUUCUCAAAAGUGGGGACAAAAUAUUUAUGGGCUUCUUAAAUUCAAGUUUAUGCUGCUGUAUGCUACCUAUUAAUGUGUUAACUGAUUAGAAAACUUGUCAUCUGAUUUGUGCUAUGCCAUUUAAAGAGUACAUUGAAACCUAAUUAAAAUGCCAAAAUGUUAGGGUCAGGUUUGUGUGGAAGCCCAUCCAAGGUAGUGUAGCUACUAAGGUAUCAAAAACACCUUGUUGUAAGAUACUGUUAGGAUAGUGGUCCCGUAGCAUAGGCCGACAAGUGGUUAUACCCAGACUUCAGCAAAAUAAAAAUAAAUAGAUUUGGUCUAAAGUCCACAUGCAGUGAAAACCAUUACCUUGAAUUUUUCUCUACGUGCAAAUUAUUCCUCAGAAUUAAAGGCUUGAUUUUCCUAAGCUGUAAUUCUCUUUGGGUCACUUGUGAAAAAUUCUGUUUUGAUAAAAGAAGGACUAUGUACUCUUUAAACUUUCCGGGGAGCUUUUUUUUUUUUUUCUUUUUGUUAGUGCAGUUGGGUUUAUUUGGAAUCGCAGGAGAUAUUGAAUGGGGUACUUCAAGAGUUUUCAUUCUGAAAUCAUCUUGCUCGGGCGAUGUAAAAACAAAAAAGGAAUGUUAGUUAAUAAAAGUAGAACUUGCUUAUGGGUUAGUUCAAACUUUAUGUUGGAGUACAGGGUAAAGGAAGGAACUGGGCACAAACUUUAUUAUGGAUAAUUAAUCAGAUUUACUUUGCCUUAUACUAUUCAUGUCUGGCUUCAUAAGAGUGACACUUCUCCCCAGUUUUAGAGAGGUCUUAUUUUUAGAGAUGGAAUUUAAAGGAAAAGAGCUAAGCAUACGGGAGUAAAAGUGUUCAAAGCAUCAAAGUGUUUGAGUGCUUUAAUAGUUUUUGUUUUGUUUUUGUGCAUUAGACAGAAAGCAAGAAAUUAUUCUGCUGAAUAUGGGUUGAGAGCCCAACUUUGGGAUAAUGGGCACAGUUUUAUUCCUCUUAGAAUAAUUGAAUAUUAUAAAAAUUGAGGGAACAGCUUGAAUAAUGCCACUGAUUUCUUAGUACAGGCUCUUAAUUCCUCUGUUGAACAAGUGAGUAAAAAUGAAGAUUGAAGAUGUGAUAUUAAAAGAAAUUUUUUCAGUUUUUUAAAAAAAAUUCCUAGGCAUUGUCUCAAAGGAUUGCUAAUUUUAGAGCAUGGUGAGGUUAAAAAAAAAAAACCUUAUUACUUGGAUAUAUUAGUAAUGAGGGCAUGUAAUUAAAAAAAAUUUUAAAUACAUGCAAAAAAGUUAAGUAGACUAUUUUGGCUUGAAAAUAUUUGUGCCAAGGGGUGUCUGAGUGGCUCAGUCGGUUGAGCAUUGGACUCGAUUUCGUGUGAAGUCAUGAUCUCCGGUAGAUGGAGCCCUACCGUGCUGGGCCUGGGGCCUGCUUGAGAUUCUCUCUCUCCCUCUCCUUCUGCCCCUCUGCCCUCUCACUCUCUAAUAAUAAUAAUAAUAAUAAUAAUAAUAAUAAUAAUAAUAAUAAAUUUUAAUUAGAACAUAAGGAUGAUUUAUGUUAUCAGUUUCAUUAUUUAACUCAGUAUCACUUUAAAAAUGUCAUUCAAUUUUUCUGUUCCCAGUUUUCUUUUCUAUAAAAUACAAUUAGUAGUACAUCAUACUUUAAAGUUGGGUUUUUAAAUAAUAUUUGCUAGACUUCUUAAGCAUAAAAUAUUACCUAAUACUGAUACAUAUAUGUAAAUCUUCUAUAUGGGAUUUUUAGAAGUUUGGACCUUGUAAUCUAUAGAAAUUUAGGCAAAAGUUUGAAAAACCAAAAAGGCAGAGUUCAGAGUUAUAGAUCCUCCUGUGAAUUGUAUUUUCCUCAUUCUUCUUAAAGGAUUUUCUUUCACUCUUGCUUGUUUCUAUCUUCUGGACUCCAGUCAUGCUAGUUUUUAGUGUUGGAUGGUGUCUACACCAUCAAUAGAAGGCUCUCUUGUAAAAACUGCUCUGUGUAUCUUCUCACAGCUGUUCCAUCUGGGAGAGUGUUUGAAUUUCACUUACUGAAUAUGCUUUAAUCACAAGAUAUUACUAAAUAGAAAGGUUCUAAUGAUGUACUUACUGUAUGUUGGCUAAUUGAACAGAAUAAUAAAAAAUAAAUAGAAAGGUUAUUGCAAUUUUCACAAACUAGAGGAAAAUAUAAAUUUAUCUUAAGGUAUUUUAUAAACAUUUUUAUAUUACUGCAGGGACAGGUAAAUACAGUAUGUGUAAUUUAAUAUUUCUAACUGUUAUUAACAUUUGUUCUAACUUUAUUUGAUGUAUUUUUAAAAUCAGAAUAGUAGGUGUAGAGUCUCAUUUAAAAAUAUCUGUCUAUGGAAUAUUUUUCAAAACAACUUGCCCUUAAAUGGGCAGAGGAUGAAAAUUUUACAGUGAAACCUUCUAAUUGAAUAUAUAGUUAAGUGUUUGAUAUCAGGUAUUGUUUUGAUUGUUAUCUUACAUAUGAGGAUUUUUUGUGUGUUUUUAUAGGCUUGCUUUUAAGUAUUUUAUUUUUUUAAAAAGCUUUUCUUUAAAAAAAGGCACUUUGUUCUUAAUGACUAUUUUGGAGUCUUCACACUUUUAUAUUUGAAAGAAGUGGAAAUGAGUGAUUUAUUAAGUUCUUUUCAUAAAAUGCACUACUUUAAUUGGAGCAUGUGAUGUAAUUUACAUUUGCUAUAAUCAGAGAGUUGUCUUUAUCCUAAACAAAUUUAUAGGAGAAUAGUUAGCAAUUUUGGCGAAUUUAGGUAGUGUAGACUGUGCCCAGAAAUGAUCAACGUUGGACUGAGUUUACAAUAUCAUAUGGAAAUGUUUUUCCCUUAUAAAGACAUUUAUAUUGUGUCUGUUUAAGGACCCUUUCUUAACCAUGCCUGUAAGUAAAUAUACACAUUGGUCAGAUGAUGUAUUGAAGGAUUUAAUUUAUAGCCUAUGCUUCUUUCCCCUCUUCCUCCUCUUAAUAAUUGUCAAUAGUUGGCCUUUAGCCACUUAGUAUGGAGGAAAUUUUAAUGCAUGAUAGAGUGGCCCAGAGUGGUGGUAGUUUUUUUUUUUCCUAGUGUCUUAUCUGAUGGAGAAAAGUGAGAUUGUUCUGUAACUCUUAAUAUAUGUUAAAUACUGUUCUGAACAUCUGUUUUUAAUCAGUCUACAAUUUAUAAAGGGGAAAGCACUUAAACACUUUUGAGAUGAUUUAAGUGGUUAUGUACCCCCCUUCCCACCCUGCCGAGAACAUUACUGCAAGGAAUGGAGAUGAUAAUGGUAAAGAGAAGCAUGGUAUGGUUAAAUUAGUUGUAUAAAGGGAAUAUACUUGUUUUAAUAUAAAACGUGUUAAAUUAAUCAUUAUAUACUUUUUCCUUCAGAUUGUAACCUUGCUUUUUUAUUAGCACUUCUGACUGUGAAGAGUCAAGAGUAGCAAACUGCCAGGAGAAGCAUAUGGGAAUCUUUAAUCAGUUUAUAUAUUAUUGUUGAUGGCUGAGGAAGAUAAGCACUUCUACACUGAUGAUCAUUUUCAGCGAUCCCAUGUAUAGCUCCACAUUUUAUAAGGUGGGAGAACAGAUGCUCAAGUGAUAAGUGGGGAAGGAUUUUCAGAUUCAAAUUCAUUGUUAAGAAAAUUCAAGAUUACCAAUCUUCAAAAAAUUACAUUAUAUCAAUUAUAAUCAUAUAUUCUAUAUUUCCCAACACUGUACCAAUUUUGAAUAUCCUGUGGCCAUAAAUACACUAGUUAGUAUGUGUCCAGCCAUAAAUCCUAACUUUUAGGUUAGACAAUGUGGUCACUUAAAUUAUAGUUUAACUGAAGGAUGAACAGGCUGAUAAUCUUUAUCUUAUUUUUUCUGUAUUAUAACAGUUUGUCAUUGAUUUUUUUAAGGUCUGGUACUGUUCGCUUAGUUUAUGUAUGCCUAGCUCCAUAAUUGAAGAGAAAUUACAAGAAUGAAUCCUUGAGAAGUUAGAAUCACAUUGGGAGAGGCAUGAGGUAAAUAGAACAUAAUUGUAAGGGCUCCUGGGUGGCUCAGUUGGUUGAGCGUCCAACUCUUGGUUUUGGCUCAGGUCAUGAUCUCAGGGUCGUGAGAUCGAGUCCCACUUCGGGCUCCUCAAUCUGUGGUGUCUGCUUGAGAUUCUCUCCCUCCCUCUCCCCCUCCGUCCCCCACUCUUACACUCACACUCUCUCUCUCAAAUGGGUAAAUAAAUCUUUUUUUAAAAGAACAUAAUUGUAUAGAUAUAUUAAUUUUUCUCUCUAAAGCAGUGGUUUUGAAUCUAUUCUGUAAGAGGUUCUGGAGGAGGUCAAGCAGGUUCAUUCCAAUUUCAACCAGUGCAGUCUUAAUUUCAUCAAUUUUAAGUAUGGAAGUUUACAUAGGUUUCUUUUGAGAGCAGGGUUCUAUUGUUUAAAAAGUGUGAUAACCACUAUUGUUAGCAGAUUUGAUCUUAUCACUGAUCUACUUAAAUCCUUACAGUGGUUGGGUCCUUUUGUUAUGAUUUUGAAGACUUUUCUUUAUCUAGCGCCAGUUUCAUUCUUCAUCUCUUCUCUUUCUCUCGCUUUCAAUGUAAACCCUUCAUUCUAGUCCUACUUAAAUUGCUUGAUAUUCCCUGAGAGGAAAAUGUUCUCUUACAUCUCCAUGCCUUUGCACAGGGAGCUGCCAUCAUUCUUACCAUGCUAGGCAGGAUUCUGCUCCCUUGGAAUUUGGUCACAGCUCCAAAGAAGCAUUUAUUUCAUUGUUUUGUAACUGUGGGCUCCCUUGAGAACAGAGCCCAUCUAAUUUUAUCUUUGUAUCUGUACUACUUAGUGUUCAUUAAGUAUUCAAAUGCCUGUUGAAUAAUUACAUUUAGAAUUUGAGAAGUGGUAGAAUUAGUUUAAUGCACACUCAUGUGAAUAAAACAUCCCAGAUCUAGUCUGUGCAAAGUAUUUUUAAUGACGUAGUGUCAGGCUAAGUAUGUCAAAGGCACCCAGUUGCACUUAUCAUGGAGUAUAUAAUAAAGCCAAAAGAUGAGAUUAAGUUCUAGUGUCUUAAAUGAAGCAUUGUAUUGGAUUUAGUUAUCUAAUCCUAAAAGUUGGUUGUGAAAGCAUUGUAACAAUGAUUUUAUAAAUUUUAUAAAUUUUACAAUGCCUGGAUGGCUCAGUUGGUUAAGCGACUGCCUUCGGCUCAGGUCAUGAUCCUGGAGUCUCAGUCCCGUAUCAGGCUCCCUGCUCAUCGGGGAGCCUGCUUCUCCCUCUGCCUGCUGCUCCCCCUGCUCAUACUCUCUCUCUCUCUCUCUUUGUCAAGUAAAUAAAAAUCUAAAUAAAUAAAUAAGAUUUUAUAAUUUUAUACAGUCCUGAUUGCCCAUGAAAAAAUUUCUUCAAAUGUGACUAAAGCGAAUAGAUUCAAGACCUUCAUAUGUCAAAGUAUAUAAUAUAUUGAUGCCCGCUCAUAGAGGUUAAAAGUGGGCCCUGGAGCUGCCCUGCCUAAAUUUAUAUCCCUUUCCUGCCUAUCAAUACUGUGUGAUCUUCUGCAAGUUACUUAACCAUUCUGUGCCUCCUUUUUCUUAUCUAUAAAAUGAGGAUAUUGAGAAUACUGCUUUAUAUGGCCAUGAUGAAGUAUAUAUGUGAGCUAAUGUAUGUUGAGCACGCAAGGGAAUGCCUACCACCCAGAAAACACUCAAUAAAUGUUAGCUCUACUUGAUUUCUAGUGGCUUCUUGUUUAAACAAAUGAAUGUUUGUUGUGCAUCAUUUGAAAAUAAUUGCUCUAAUAUGUGAGUAUCUAAUUGAAAAGAAACAACAUUUUUAGUUAGCUAUAUCUUUCACCUAGCAACUGUUUUAUCCCCUUACUGACUCAUUCUCUGGUCUCCCAGUGGAGUGUAGACGGUUUCUGUCAGACGGAUGGACAUGGGAGAUUUGAAACUAUGUUCUCCUGAUUUCUGCAGCAGAGCAUUAUGUUCCCAUGACCUGUGCAAUUCUUGGUAGUGCCCACAAGAGAGGAGGGAGAGAAAUAACAAGCAUAAGAAUCCAGUGACAAGUUCUUAAAUAAGCCUUAACCUGUACCAAAUAAGUCCUAAAGUUUCACACUCCUUUAGUAGAGGAUAUGUGUUCAGCUUUUUUCCUUUUUUACACUUUCCUUUACUAUUUUGGCUUGGAAUAAUAGAUUGUUUAAAAUCCGGAUUUACAUUUAUUCCAGAAAGGUACAUACACAUUUACUUUAAUUAGUCAGUGAACCUGUUUUUUUCUCAUUCUUUACAUUUACUUCCUACAGUGAGGGAAAUCAGUAGGAUGUCAGUCAUUUGUGUCAGUACUGUGUUCUAUGAAAAUCCUGUGCACUAUAAAAUCCUGUUAAAUGGCCCAUUUAGGAUGCAAAGAAAAUGUUAAGGGAAGAAGAAAAUUGUAUUCCAAGAUACUACUUUGUAAAGAGUGGGUUAUUCUUAUAACAAAUAAUAACCAGCUUGUCCUUACAGCCUCCUUUGACUUACUUUCUUCCGUGUCACAAGACAAUAAUGGGUAACUUUUAAAAACUGUUUCAUUAAAGGAAGGAAUUUAACAAGCAGUGUUGAGUGUUCGCUGCUAACUGUGGGUGACUUGCACAUGAGGAACUAUGGUGUAAAGAUAAAUCAGGCAUUCGUCUUUAUAUACUGCUUAAUGACCGGCUAGCCAGACCAGAGGGUGAAGGGAAGACGUGGGAAUGAACGCUGGAAUGAGAGUGGAAAAGUGCUGGAUUUUGAAGAGAAUGAGGAAACAAAGUAAGCGCAAGGACCAUUUUUAAAAUGCCAGUGGUGUGCAGUGUGACAGUUUGCCAUGAGAAAUGUGAGUGCUUAUACGAAUUGAUCGAUACACUUAGUGUCAUCUUGUAAUCAGAACACUAGUCUGAUAUUAGCCAAUUUUUGCUUAAGUGCCAUUGGAGGAACUUUUAAAAUAUUUUUUGCACCUCCCUGAAAAUUAUAGCAGGUAGGUCAUGCUAAGAAAAACAACUUCUAGAAUAAAUACAAUUUUGACUAAGCCUAUUUCCUCUGUACAAACCAGGACACUGUGUUCGUGUUUAAUGUUAUCUGGCCUUGAAAUUUCAUUUCCCUUCAACAGCAUGCCUUUCUGUGUUUGUUAGGCCAAACAACUUCUUGUUUUACUUCCUACCUCAGUUCUUGUUCCUCAUUGUCACUAUUAGUAUUAAUAUUAUUAUUAUUAUGUCAGAAAAGAGAAAUACUAUUUGGGCGUUUUCAAAUGCCUCAGAUAUGCUGGGUUACGUAGAGGAGUGUGAUGGGUUUGUAUGACUUUCCCAGUUCUUUCUUCUCAAUAGCAUCCUCCCCCAUGCUGUCCUCCGCCCUUCCUUGUUUUAGAAGGUUUCUAAUUGUUGGAAAGAACUUCUCAUUGAUCUCAGUCUAUUUCUCAUCUAAUUUUCACUUACUGAUCCUUGGCAUUCUAGGGCUAUGUAUGUGAAACACACAAUAAAUUCUUACAAUAAAUCUUCAAGUAUUGGAAAACAACUAUUAAAUCCUACUUGAAUCAUUUUUUUUUUCCACAAUGAGGGGAAAAAAGCUAAUUCUCAAAAGAUAUGCACAUGACAUGGUUUACAGAACUUUCUCCAUCCACAUCGCUAACUCAUGACAAAGUCUGGUCAUCAGUAUACCUCUUCAAAUACAGUGGCCAGAACUGAACCAACUGCUUCAGAUGUGAUCUGGCCAUCGCUGAAUACAAUGAAACUAUUAUUUGGAUACUGUACUUCUAUUAAUGCAGGCUGAAAUUUGCAUUACAUUUUUUGGCAGCCACAUUACCCUUUGAUCAUAUUGAGCUUCCGGUCAACUAAAACCUUGUCUCCUCACGUGGGCUGCUUUAAGUCUAAUCUUUCUCAUUCUUUAUUUGCCAGUUGGAUCUUUGAAAGUAAAUGCAGGAUAUGAGGCCUUGGCAUUACCAUAAAAGUUUAAAUGAAUUUGUCUUUUUCAGAUUUCAUCCCAUUUGACUAUCUGGAGAUUUGAGCUAACAUUUCUAUAAAACAGCACAGUUUUCAUGGUGCUUUCACAUAUAUUUUAAUUUAAUCUUCACAACAACCCCCAAGAAUCAGAAGAGAGAAUGACUUUCCACUAAAUCAAGAAUUGGCAGAUGUGGGACUGUGUUACUGGUUUUUUGAUAACAGAUCCCACGCUCAUCUUCUUAUCACUGCUCACUUAGUAAGCAUUUAACAUGCCCUUUACUAUGUGGCCAGCACUCUGGUGCUGGUGCAUCAGUGAACCAGACAGAGGACAAUCUCUGCCCGCUGGUGUUUGUGGCCUGGCACAUAAAUAAUUACUGCCAGUUGCUGAGCACUUUGUAUUGGUAAGGCACUGUGGUGGAUUGCUCUAUUGUUAAAAAGAAUUUGUUGCCUUUCUUUACGAGGGUCCCCUCUGUAGGAGGAUUAUAUUUCCCCUUUGUUGACAUCAGGUUUGGACACUUGGCUUUCCUUGACCAAUAAAAUGUGAGAGGAAGUGACAUGUUCCUUGUUUGAGCAGAUGUUUUAAAUUCCAUCUUGUGGUUUUGCCAGUGGCUUUUUUUCCUGUCAUGGAACCAGUAUCCCUUAGCUAGAGCCAGUCCCAGAAUGAUGGCACCUUCAGAUUGGGUCCCAGAAUGAUGGAGCAGAGCUGAAGCCGAUCCAUGACAGAAAUUAUUAACAUAACUGAGAAAUAAACCCUUGUGUUGUAGGCACCAUGAUUUUGGAGUCAUUUGUUAACACUAACAUAAUACAUCCCAAACACAAUGUGAUGCUAAACAUCAUUCGAGGUACUAGAUAAGACACGGAAGAACAUGUAGGCCUUGUCCUCAAGGAGAGUGCAGUUUUGGUGAAUGCAUUCAGUGUCCACAGGUUAUUGGUAGUUGGGGAAAAGGAGAAUAUACGUAUGGAAAGGACUUUGAAGUUGGGACUCUGCUGACCUUCACCUCACCCCUAGGCUGAAUCAGUCGGUGUGUUGACUGGGUCUGUGAUCCAGCUCCUCACUGUUAAAACUUCUUAUCAUUCAAAAUUUGAUCAGCAUGGUUUUCUAAAUCCUCAUUCAAAUCACCUUUUGUAAAAAAAAAAAAAAAAAAAAAAGUGUAAGAGGAUGGGCUUCUACAGAAAGUCAGCAGAAACUUCUUUCAUAAAUUUAUUAAUCAGCAUUCACUAGGUAACCUAAGAAUCUACCUAGUUGAACUGUAUCAGAAAAAUCCAGAAAAAUACGAGGUCCUAGGUUCCAUGUCAGUUAUGUUUGUGAGCAUUCAGAUUUCCCGUUACCACAGCUAUGCGUACAUCUCACUUUGCAUGGGGAUAUUAGAGAGACAAAGCCCAGGCUGGGAUUCUGCGAAGAAUUUCCUCACCGUGAGAAGCUAAGGAAUAUAUGCCCAAGGUUCAGGGGAGUAUUUGAAAUCCUUGAAAUAAUUAUAUGUAAAAUUUUAUGUGAAUAUACAUUGUUGUGGGGUGUAGCGUUCAUCACAUUCUCAAAGGGAAUCGUGAUUCCCCUGGGAGGUUAUAAGCCCUGUUGUGGGAUGAGAAUGGAAGUCAAACAAGGAUCUGCAGAGUGCCAGGAUAUAAGGGACAGGUGGGACGAGAACCCAGAAGGGAAUCCAAGAAGGAAUCAUUGGAAAGGGUUGAGGACCAGGAGCAAAUAUGUUACAGAAGCUGGCUACUUAUUUAUCAUAUUUUUUUUAAAAAUCUGUUCUAGAAUUUUCAUGAAUUCUACAUGCAUCUUCAUGGUAUUUCUUUAUGAUUCCUUAGAAGUUACCAAACUUGGAGAUAUAUUUAAUGUCUUAGGAUACGAUUUUUCUUGAUCUAUAAAUACGAAUUUAAAGCAAUUCCUUCUUCUUUUUCUGUCUCCUUUUUAUUUUGGGCUUCAGUUACUUUUUUUCUUUUUUUUUUCCCUUAAUCCUUUUUUACCCUUCCCAGAUUAAAGAUCAUUCUUGUUUAAAAAGGCUGACUCAAGAUGGGAAUGAAGCAGUCUUUUAGGUUAUCUGUAGACAAUUGAUCCCAAGUAAGGAAACCUGCCUUUGUUAUUCUUUAAGUCUUUAAAGUUUUCCUUAGGGCUUCUAACAAAUGUCUACCUUUUUAAAACAACUUUAUUGAGAUAUAAAUUGUUAACACAGUAAAUUGCACAUACUGAAAAUGUACAGUUUGAUAAGCCUUGACAUAUAUGUAUGCCUAUAAAACCAUCACCAUUGGGAUGCCUGGGUGGCUCAGUCGGUCUGCCUUCAGCUCAGGUCCUGAUCCCAGGGUCCUGGGAUCAAGUCCCACAGUAGGCUCCCUGCUCAGUGGGGAGCCUGCUUCUCUCCCUCUCCCUCUGCUUGCUGCUAUGUCUGCUUGUGAUCUUAAUUAUCUUAAAAAAAAUUUAAAAUCUUAAAAUCUUAAAAAAAAAUCACAUUCAAGAUACUGAACAUAUCCAUCACCCCCAGAAGUCUCUUAGUAAUGUCCCCCAUUUCUCUCCAGGCAACCACUAUUUGUUGUCCUUCACUUAUAUUCGUUGGCAUGUCCUAAAAUAAAGUUUAUACUCUUUUUUGGUCUACCUUCUUUCCCCAGCAUGAUUAUUUUGAGAUUUAUCCAUGUUGUACCAUGCAUCGAUAGUUUAUUCCUUUUUUAUUGCUAAGUAGAAUUCCGUUGUAUGGAUAUACUGGAGUUUGUGUGUCCAUUCACCUCUCAAUCGAUACCGGGUUAUUUCUAGUUUUUGACUUAAAAAUAGAACUGCCAUGAACAUCCACAUACAUGUCUUUGGAUGGUUGUAUGCCCUCAUUUCUCUUGGGUAAAUACCGAAGAGUGGAGUGGAUGAACCAAUCAUAUGGUAGGUGUAGGGAUGUGUGUGUGUGUGUGUGUGUGUGUGUAGUGAGAGAUUUUAAGAAAUCAGAUCACACGAUUGUGGGAGUUAGCAAGUCCAAAAUCCACAGGCUAGGCCAGCAGGCUGGAACCUCAGGCAAGAGAGUUGAUGUUGCGGUCCUGAGUCCAAAGUCUGUAGCCUACGCCAGCAGGCUGGAAAUUCAGGCAGGAUUACUAUUCCCGUUUUGAAGCAAUAAUUUUGUCACUUUCUCCACAAAAAAAACAAAAGCCCUGUUCCAAGCUCUGGAAUUAUAGGAGUAAAAAAGAUAAGUAAGGUUCCUGCUCUUUUAAAGCUUCUUUCCUGGCAGGUUAUGACAGGAGAGGCAGGCCGCAAACAAGUAAAGGAAUAAACAAACCAAAUAAUUUCAGGUUGUGAUAAGAGCUAUGAAGAAAAUGAAGGAGAUGUGACAAAGAAUUCCUGGGGCGGGGAGCCCACUUCUGAGAAGGCCGGCGGGGAAGACCUAUUGGAGGGAGUGGUGUUUCAGUAGAAACCCCAGAAGGAUUCGAAGGAACCAGAUAUCAAGAUCUCAUGGUAUUUUGGUGAACAAGAUGGUGUGGCAUUUAUGCAAAGAUAAAAAAUCAACCAGUGAAAGAGAAGAGAGAACUUAAAAACGGACCUCACAGGUGCCUCUGCAGUGUUCUUCUCCAUUCCUCCCUGGCUUGCUCCCCCGAUUCGACGGCAUGCACAGGCCCACGGAUCUACCACACCUUGACUCCCAGUCUGUAGAGGCUUGACACUUUUGACCGAUGGCAAGGGCGCUCUCAGCAGCGGAAGGAACAAGCACCAGCCCUUGGCAGAGACAGCUCUCCUUCGAAGGUUUCCAGGUUCUCAGUUUCCUGUCUGCAUCUCUCUCUGAGCCAGUUACCACGGGAAUCUACAAAUGUGCCCCAAUGAGGAGUUUUGGUCGUCUCCGCUAUUACAGGUGAGAGGCAGCUCUCAGCCUGUGUCAGUCAUCCAGAGGGGACAAGGUGACAUCAUGCUCUUCUCCUGUUUGCCUUUUGGGCCAGCUGGGCUCCAUCUCAGGAUCCAGGCACCUGUCUCAACAAUGUAAGCCACCCGUCACAAGGGGGACGGCCAGGUGGACCGAAGCGACGUGACCCAGCAUGGACACCACAGUGCCCACCGAGCUUCUGAACUGCUGCCUCGUUCGUCUCUCACAGUUCCCCCUGAUGUGGGAGCAACACCUCGCUGCCCCGAGAAAGAAAGCAC